rnacentral:lncRNA from 1 species
AAUACCUCUCCCUUUCACUUCACUCUAAGUACUCUUAACAAUAUCUUGAAAUAUAGUUUCUGGUUUUGUUUCCAGUCAAGUCAUAUUAUUGAGGUGGUACUGGGUCAGGAUGGCUGGAGUGUGACAUACACCACUCAGAGUAUCUGUACCUUGAAGGGGUCAUCAGUGGAUCUGUUCUGUUCAUAACAGAUCAGACUGGAGGGAAUUAUGCUGGUGAUCCUGGAGUUACUCUGUCUGUUACAGACCUGCAGGUGAAGGUGACCACUACAUGGUGGUCAAUGACACUGACCUGUAGCACCACCUGUACUCUGACUGGUAACCCCACCUACACCUGGUACAGGAACAGUAAGAUUGUACAAGAGGACUCCUCCCCCUCGUACACAUUCUACUUUAAAACUGAAGACAGCUUCUACUGUGCUGUAAAAGGCAUCAAUUCUCCUGCAGUGUGUGAGUGUGACUAAUACACUUUUUAAAGUCUUUCAAAAUCAUCCAAUCA